ACAUGGCGUUUCGUGCGUCUCCUUGGCGACGGAGUGGAACCGGAAUGAUGGAGGAGCGAUGGCGAAGCACAGAAUGAAUUAUGGAAGGAUGAGUGCUGAAGCAGCCGACCGGGUGGCUGCUGUGACCAGCGGUCGGCCCAGUACGCCUCUGCAGACGUCCUGGUUUGAGUUCCUCUUGGACGGCAGCCUGCUGGAGAAACACCUGCAGAAAUCAAAUGCAGACCCGACUCCGGUGCAGCUGAUGGUCCAGUUCCUGGAGCAGGCGUCCAAACCGUCGGUGAACGAGCAGAAUCAGGUUCAGCCUCCAGCAGACAACCGCAGGAACCGAACCCUGAAGCUGCUGGCGCUGAAGGUCGCCGCACACAUGAAGUGGGACCUGGAUUCACUGGAGAAAGGACUGACCAUCCCAGUGUUGAACAUGCUGCUGAAUGAGCUGCUGUGUGUCAGCAAAGUGCCUCCAGGUGUGAAACAUGUGGAUCUGGAUCUGUCCACUCUGCCUCCGACCACCGCCAUGGCAGUGAUCAUCUACAACCGCUGGGCCAUCAGAACCAUCGUGCUGAGCAGCUUUCCAGAGAAACAAACCAAACCAGGACCUCAUCAGAUAAACAUGUUAAAUAUCGUGCAGCAGGAGAAAGAAAUGACAGAAAACAUCCUGACUGUGCUGAAGGAGCAGGCGACCGACUCCAUCACCGUCCUGGAAGGAGCUCUGCAGCUGAAGAAGGACUUCUACGUCCACACUCUGAGGACUCUGGACCUGCUGGCCGCUGACGCUGCCGCUAACGGAGAAACCGAAUCCUCCACAGCCGGGCUUCGAAUCAGCGCCGAUGACCUGCGCUGUCAGGUGCAUUAUGAUCUGGGAGGUAUUUUCUUCCAACAAGGCUGCACCGACCAGCCAACCUAUGAGAAGGCCAGAGAUCACUUCAGACAGACCAAGGAGCUCUUGAAGAAGCUGGACUCGACCGUCCACGUCCACCUGGACGAGAAGCGUCUGGCCGGUUACUGGAACGCCUGCAGAGCUCUGACCGGAGACUGUGACCCCUGCGACCCCCAGACGACCCCCUACGACCAGAUCAACAGUCUGAUCCGAGCCCACAACCACCAGGCCGUCAUGGAAGCCUUCAUCAAAGACAACGUGUCCCGCAGUUUACCGAACCACUUCAGACGCUCGGUUCUCAGAGAGUUCUUGUACAAAGUCCAGCAGGGGUGAGGCCACAAAAACAUUCAAACCUGUUCACACACUGCAGUCAGACUGUAGACUUAGAAAAGUCUGUUUAUGUUGUUCAGAAAGCCGUGCACUGCUUGUUUCUUCAGAGCUUUAAACUGGAACAAUCUUCCUCAUGCAAUUUAAAAGUUCCCCCUCCACUGACAUUUGUAGGACAAAUCUCAAGACAUGCAUGUUUUCAAUGGCUUUUGGUAGCUUUUAAUGUUCUUAAAUUGUAGUAUUUUAUAUUUAUUUUAUCCUAGAAUUUGAUCUUACAAGUUGCGAUCUUGUUUUGCCUUGUUUUAGUAUUUUGUAGUUUUGUUUUCUUUCAUAAAAUUUUCAGAUUUUAUAAUUACUCCGCCAAGGAAGAUAGUGGAGUUACGAUGAUUAGUGUACGUUUGUCCGUCCAUCUGUCUGUCUGUCAGCAACAUUACUCAAAAACAGACUCAUGAAUUUGGAUGAAAUUUUCAGGGAAGGUCAGAAAUGACACAAGGACCAAUUUUAUCAGUGAUGCAGCUUAUAGUCUGGAUCCACAGAUUUGUUAAAUAUUUUUGUAUCAUUGCCAGAUAGCGGCACGGCGUCACUGUAACCAUGACAACCAGUGAACACUACGUCAGCUGCCUGCUGAUGAUCACGUGAUUGUGAUUCUACUACAAAUCCACCACUGAGGACUUAUCAGGACGUAUCCAUCAGAAAUGAUACAAAGAACAACUGAUUAAAUUGUGGGGGUGUUUCUGAGUCCCAUUAAUUCCCGCCGCCCGCUACAUAUUUAGAUCACGUGAUUCCGUAUCCGUACAUAACGUACACAUGGAGAACACAUGUGCUCAGAGCAAGGUCAUUUAGUUUGUGGGUACAUCUAAAAUCCAGUCCGGUCUGGAUGAAGUUUGUCAUCAACUUUGUGUCUGUAACGCCGUGAGAGACGCUCUGGAAGGAGAAAUCCUCAGCAUUCGUUUCCAGCAGCUGCUCCUCAAGCCUAGUAAACGGAUCGUGGACUUCAUCUUAGAGGUGGUCUACGAUAAAGGAGAGAUCUACUCGUUCUCCAAGCACGGACGUUUUUGCCACGAGAUAAAGAUGAACUACUCUCCGUACACGAACUACUUCACCCGAGUCUUCUGGAAUCGCUCGUAUCACGUCUACAAAGUGAACUCCGUCAUCUCCUUCCAGUACUGACGGCAGAUCGGACUCCUCUCGUAUUUAAGAUCUCAUCCACAGUUGGACACUCUGGGCUUCUGCAAGCGUCUCGUCACUGUUACGUCGAAGCCGCACGUUCAGCAGGGAUCGGCUGAGGACGCCGCACCGACCUCCACGUGUCGAAGUCGAAACACGCCAUAUUAAUCACUGUACUGUACUUUUAUAAGCCAUGCGUUACUGUCAAUGUUACUGUGAGGCAUUUAAUGAAGGGGGGGUAGAUAAGAGUCGUCUGUGGUCACUUUGUUCAGAAGCUGCUCAGAUUUAAACAAACAGCGGUCGUAUUUUCAGUCAUCUAUAUCUCAACAAUUGUCAUGAAAUUUACUACAAAUAGCACCGAAGGAGUUCCAUUAUCUGCUCACAUUUCCUCCAGAGUGGUUGACAUGUGUAUUAAAAUGUCUUUUUUUGGCCUUUAGUGGACAGUUAGAGGAAAAACAAAUGGAAGCUGUGGGGAAAGAGAUGAUCUGUACUGGCUGAGAAUUAAAACUUCUGAUUAGGAACCCUAAAAGACAUGGGUCAUCGGGUCGCCUUAUGGUGAAACAUUAUGACAAAUAUUGACCAGAUAGCCAUGAAACUUUUGCACACGCAUUUGCAUUGACGAGCCAUAACAUGAAAACCACCGAAAUAACAUUUAUUCUUCAUUUUGACAUGUCGGGGCAAAGAUACAGGAUCUCUGGUGGCAUCAGGAAGCUAGCAGAUCUUUUUGGUCAAGUGGCUUACAGCGUUUGGCUUCGGCCUCGAUGGAUUGGACCCAUCGAUGAUCCACUGGAUUGGGAUUUAGGGAGUGUUGAGGCUGCGUCAGUGCCUUGUGCUCUUGGUCAUGUUCCUCGAGCUGUUCUUAGGUGGUUUUUGAGGUGUAGCGGGGCAUGUUGUCUGAAUGGGGUCUGUUGUUACUCGGCUUGUCACGAGAACCGAUACUUCGGUACCAAGUCAGUACUAAGAUUCAGAAAAUGUACUGACUUUUCUAGACUACCCAAAGUACUGUAGGUACCGAGGAGCCAGAUCUGGCUGCUUCUUCUGUUUUUUUGGCUGUAAAUGAGCGAUUAUCUGGCAACCCUCACACAGUGCUGAUCACAUGACUGACUACGCUGCAAAGAGAUCGGCUGAAUCCCAAACCGCCCCCUACACACUAUCCCUACACACUACCCCUUCGUUUGCGCGUUCUCGCGGAGGGUCCUCCAUAUUAAGGGCCGUCCCAAACCGCGUAGUGCGGAGGGAUAGUGGACUGUUCAGCCCUUAAAUAGCGAGUCUGCAUCGAUGCUCACUCUGGACAACUUUUUCAGGAAGUGCAACGUCGAAAUGGAGGAGGAAACAACAUAUCGAUGUAAGUUCCACAUGCGUCCUUUAUUUCUCCCACGCCUUUUUCACACUGACAGAACAUCACAAAAAGAGUGGUGAAAAAAGAUCAAAAGAAACAAAUCCUCUUCUCUGCUGACGUGUGAUUUAAUUGUCCACCCCCUGACACCUUAAAAUUUGAACACAACUGACAGAAUUCAUUUAUUCAUUCAUUUGUUGGAUUUGAAAUGCCAGAUAAUAGGAUUGGAAAACAUGUGAGUGAAAAAAAGUGGGACGCUUUCGUCUUCUGGAAGCAGCAGCGAUCCUUGUUAGUUGCAACCUUUGCCACAGCGCUACAGCCAUGCACAGUAGGCGUCUUUGUGUUACCAUGGCGAUGACGUCUUCCGUUUUCCGGUGAGGCGACAGGGCGUCCCAUUCCAGACGAUCGUAUUUAUACCCUCCCCCUUCAAUAAUAGGUGCCCUCCACAGCUGCGAGAGUGACUUCUUUUGGAGUGACACUCGGUAGUGGAGGGGGAGUGUGUGGGGGGCGGUUUGGGAUUCAGCCAUCAACUACAUGCAGCAUGGUGGAGGCACACGCACCUGGCUGACAACAGCAGCUGCCCCUCAAUUAGUUGGAAAAAACCCGCCAGAAGUCGCGUCUGGAAUUCUUUUGGAUUCGAGGCUGACGAGGACGGAUUGGUUAUUGACCCGUCUGGAAAAAAUGCGUCACCGCAGCACAGCGAAGGGGAGCAACACGUCCAACUUGGCGAAACAUGUAGCCCUAUAAGGUACAGUCAAUUCCAGCCAUUUUCAGUACAAAAGAUAUCGCUAAUAUUUUAUUUGUAAAUAAAAAUAUGACGAGAAAUACAGGGAAUAUUGGACGCGCAUCGCGAGGUGCAUUAUUGAAAACGACCUAUUCGUGGAUUAUAUACCGACUUCAAGACGUGUUUUGGACAAAAUAUUUUACUGGCUUGUUUCGUCUGGAUAUCCAAGGUUGGAUUAUGGGUGUUUUUGUGGAAUAUUUUCAUCUGUGUGUAAUAAUGAACCCGCAAAUGUGAGUCGCGCUGUGUACGUUAAAGCCGAGUAUAGAGAACGGAUGGAUGAAUAUUCGUUGUUUGUCGGACAAAUGUGUUUAUAUUACCCGCUGUGGUAAUCACAUCUGAAAGUGGUUUAUACCGGCGGAUUCAUGAGAAUCUAAGCUUUCCAUCGGUGUAUAAUGUUUCUAUCAUCAAGUUGGCAGUGUCGUUCUAUUUCGAAAAAUGCUUAGGCAGAUAUCAAAACGGCCCGCCCGCGGGCCGCCGAACCAUAACAGGUUCGGCGGCCCGCGUUGUACCAGAGUUGUACACAGUUGUACACAGAAUUCAAGGUGAAUGCAUUUGAAUUCACGUGUUAUCAUUGUUGCUCAUAUCUAAUUACGUUACAAUGAGAUGAGCCCAGUCCAUAGUAAAUGAGCUGCAUGGCAAAAUAAGAAGCGUGUCCAGCCUUGUUUGUCCCGCAUCAUAGGUUUAGGGCUGAAAAGAUUCCUCGGAUAAUCCGAAUAAUUCGGUUACAAAAUAUCCUCGGGGCAAAUUGUGUGCCUCGAAGCCUCCUUUAAUAUAUAAAUAUAUCUAAAAUAUAUAUCUGGACUACUAUACAGCUCACGGUGUUUGACACAGACGGUAAUUUCUGUGGCACAACGCACCUGCUACCUCUGCUACCGUGGUAUCGAGUGGUAUCGAGUAUCGUAGAAUUUAAGUGGUAUUGGUAUCGACUACUAAAUUUCUGGUAUCAUGACAAGCCUAGUUGUUACCCACAAGGAGUGUUCUUGGUCUGGAGCAAAGUUUAUGUACACUACUGUUCAAAAGUUUGAGGUCAUCCAGACAAUUUCAUGCUUUAUUCAAUGCUUUUAUUCAUGUUUUAUUUAUGUGCUACCAUAAUUCCACAAGGGUUUUCUAAUCAUCAAUGAGCCUUUCAACACCAUCAGCUAACACAAUGUAGCAUUAGAACACAGGAGUGAUGGUUGCUGGAAAUGUUCCUCUGUACCCCGAUGGAGAUAUUCCAUUAAAAAUCAGCUGUUUCCAGCUAGAACAGUCAUUUACCACAUUAACAAUGUCUACACUGGAUUUAUCAUUCAUUUAAUGUUGACUUCAUGGAUAAAAACUGCUUUUCUUUCAAAAAUAAGGACAUUUUGUAAGUGACCCCAAACUUUUGAACAGUGAUCAGUGGUACAUGUCAGAAUAGCUUCCAGAUAAAUACCAGGACUCAAGGUUUCCUAUCAGAACAUUAUGUUAUUAUGAAAAAAAAUAAACGUUGCACACUUUGUCAAUGGGUUUUAAUGAUGUGGCUGAUCGGUGUGAUGAUGACCUGAACCAGUGACAGUCAUAAUAAUUAGUCAUAAAAUGUGACUUCAUUGUUGCCUGUUGCCAUGUUUUGGUUGUAACAUUAAUGAUCAGUGAGGUAAAGUGCCGUCUUUUGUUGUGUUGUGUUAUAUUGUGCUGUGUAGUAUUAAAUUAUAUUGUGUGUA